UCACCAGUGGUUGAACAGGAAAAGGAAUCUAUGCCUUUUGCAGUGCCAAUGAUUUGGAGAGAGCCAACAGAUCAUACCAGCAAUUGUUACUUCUGCAUGGUGCCUCCAGUUGGGAAAGGUGUGUCAAAGAAGAAAAAGUAAACUGUGCAUUAUCCAAACAUUCCAUCAGCUAUACACCCAGUACCCCACAGAGAAGGACUGACGGUUCCUGAUGCACCAGAAUCAUUCUCACUUGAGUCAGACGAGGAAGAGGAUGAAACUUCUGGUCCUGAACCAUCAGUGUCACAGGACCCAAAUUUUCUCCCAUCCUCCUCCUCUGAACCACACCUCAUAACACAAGGUGAACUGAAUGACCUUGUCAGGGAUUUGGAACUACCCAAGAGUAAGGCAGAGCUGUUGGGCUCCAGACUACAGCAGUGGAAUCUCCUGGCAGGUGAUGUUAGGGUUUCUAUGUUCCGUGACCGUCAAAAGAAUCUUGUCCCAUUCUUCUUCAUGGAAGGUGAUCUUGUAGCCUGCAACAACAUCGAUGGUGUGAUGGCAGCCCUCAACAUCGUUCACGAUCCAGAUGAGUGGAGACUGUUCAUUGAUUCAUCGAAGACGAGUCUUAAAGCUGUUUUACUGCAUAAUGGCAAUGUUUUGCCAUCAAUUCCAAUUAGUCAUGCAGUCCAUAUGAAGGAAACCUAUGACAACAUGAAACAACUUUUGAGGUGCAUAAACUAUGACCAACAUCAGUGGCAGCUUUGUGGCGAUUUGAAGGUUGUUGCUCUCUUGCUUGGUCUGCAGACUGGAUACACAAAGUACUGCUGUUUUCUCUGCGAAUGGGAUAGUCGUGCAAGAGAUUCUCACUACAUCAAGAAAGAUUGGCCACUCCGACAGUCAUUGGAGCCUGGGAGGAAAAGUGUUCAACAUCCACCACUUGUUGAAUCAAGGAAGAUUUUGUUACCACCCUUACACAUCAAGCUGGGUCUGAUGAAGAACUUUGUCAAGGACAUUGACAAAACACAAGCAGCUUUCAAGUACCUCCGUGGAAAAUUUCCAAGGUUAAGUGAAGCUAAGAUAAAGGAAGGUGACUUUGUUGGUCCUCAUAUUCGUGAACUUCUUCGAGAUGAUGCAUUUAACCAUGCACUGCGUGGCAAGGAAAAGACGGCAUGGAAAGCCUUCCAGUUUGUGGCAAUAAAUUUUCUCGGAAACAACAAGGCAGACAACUACAGGUUGUUGGUGGAAAACCUCCUCAAGGCAUACAAAUGCCUUGGUUGCAACAUAUCACUAAAGAUACAUUUUUUGCACUCUCAUCUAGAUUUUUUUCCACCGAACUGCGGAGCAGUGAGCGAUGAGCACGGCGAGCGAUUUCACCAGGACAUUGCAACAAUGGAGAAACGCUAUCAGGGCAAAUGGAGCCCAUCA
rnacentral:lncRNA from 1 species